UACAGAGGGGGCAAGCGUUGUUCGGAAUUACUGGGCGUAAAGGGCGCGUAGGCGGCCUUCUAAGUCGAACGUGAAAUCCCUAGGCUCAACCUAGGAACUGCGUCCGAUACUGGGAGGCUUGAAUCCGGGAGAGGGAUGCGGAAUUCCAGGUGUAGCGGUGAAAUGCGUAGAUAUCUGGAGGAACACCGGUGGCGAAGGCGGCAUCCUGGACCGGUAUUGACGCUGAGGCGCGAAAGCCAGGGGAGCAAACGGG
rnacentral:rRNA from 1 species